rnacentral:rRNA from 1 species
UACGGGGGGGGCAAGCGUUGUUCGGAAUUAUUGGGCGUAAAGAGCUCGUAGGCGGUCUGUCGCGUCGGAUGUGAAAAUCCAGGGCUCAACCCUGGACCUGCAUUCGAUACGGGCAGACUAGAGUUCGGUAGGGGAGACUGGAAUUCCUGGUGUAGCGGUGAAAUGCGCAGAUAUCAGGAGGAACACCGGUGGCGAAGGCGGGUCUCUGGGCAGUAACUGACGCUGAGGAGCGAAAGCGUGGGGAGCGAACAGG